rnacentral:rRNA from 1 species
UACGUAGGGACCGAGCGUUGUCCGGAAUCAUUGGGCGUAAAGAGCGUGUAGGCGGCCACUUAAGUCCUGCGUGAAAUCUUGCGGCUCAACCGCAAGCGGUCGUGGGAAACUGGGUGGCUAGAGUGCGGGAGAGGAGAGUGGAAUUCCUGGUGUAGCGGUGGAAUGCGCAGAUAUCAGGAGGAACACCAAUGGCGAAGGCAGAUCUCUGGGCCGUAACUGACGCUGAGGAGCGAAAGCAUGGGGAGCGAACAGG